rnacentral:rRNA from 1 species
GGGGAAUUUUCCGCAAUGGGCGAAAGCCUGACAGAGCAAUACCGCGUGAGGGAUGAAAACUUACUGAGUUGUAAACCUCGGUGCCUUAAAGAAGAAGAUCUGACGGUAUUUAAGGUGGAAAGCAUCGGCUAACUCCGUGCCAGCAGCCGCGGUAAUACGGAGGAUGCAAGCGUUAUCCGGAAUGAUUGGGCGUAAAGCGUUCGCAGGUGGCAUUGAAAGUCUGCUGUUAAAGAGUCUGGCUUAACCAGAUACAGGCAGUGGAAACUACAAAGCUAGAGUGCGGUAGGGGCAGAGGGAAUUCCUGGUGUAGCGGUGAAAUGCGUAGAGUUCAGGAAGAACACCGGUGGCGAAAGCGCCCUGCUAGGCCGCAACCGACACUGAGGGACGAAAGCUAGGGGAGCGAAUGGGAUUAGAUACCCCAGUAGUC